rnacentral:rRNA from 1 species
UACGUAGGGCGCGAGCGUUGUCCGGAAUUAUUGGGCGUAAAGAGCUCGUAGGCGGUUCGUCGCGUCGAAUGUGAAAACCCGGGGCUCAACUCCGGGCCUGCAUUUGAUACGGGCGGACUAGAGUUCGGUAGGGGAGACUGGAAUUCCUGGUGUAGCGGUGAAAUGCGCAGAUAUCAGGAGGAACACCGGUGGCGAAGGCGGGUCUCUGGGCCGAUACUGACGCUGAGGAGCGAAAGCGUGGGGAGCGAACAGG